UACGUAGGGUGCAAGCGUUACCCGGAUUUACUGGGCGUAAAGGGUUCGUAGGCUUUUUAGUAAGUCGUUCUUCAAAGACCGGGGCUCAACCUCGGAGCGGGGAGCGAUACUGCUAGAAUUGAGACACUUAGGGGCUACUGGAACUGUCGGUGUAGGGGUGAAAUCCGUUGAUAUCGACAGGAACUCCGAGGGCGAAGGCAGGUAGCUGGGAGUGUUCUGACGCUGAGGAACGAAAGCUAGGGUAGCGAAAGGG
rnacentral:misc_RNA from 1 species